AACGCGAAGAACCUUACCUGGGCUCGAAAUGUAGAGGACAAACUAAGAAAUUAGUCUUUCGCAAGAACUUCUAUAUAGGUGCUGCAUGGCUGUCGUCAGCUCGUGCCGUGAGGUGUUUGGUUAAGUCCAGCAACGAGCGCAACCCCUAUCUUUAGUUACCAACAGUUAGGCUGGGGACUCUAGAGAGACUGCCGAGGUCAACUCGGAGGAAGGUGGGGAUGACGUCAAGUCCGCAUGGCCUUUAUGUCCAGGGCUACACACGUGCUACAAUGGGCGAUACAAAGGGAAGCAAGACCGCGAGGUGGAGCAAAACCCAUAAAAUCGUUCUCAGUUCAGAUUGCAGCCUGCAACUCGGCUGCAUGAAGUUGGAAUUGCUAGUAAUGGCGUGUCAGCAUUAACGCCGUGAAUACGUUCCCGGGCCUUGUACACACCGUAGAGAC
rnacentral:rRNA from 1 species